rnacentral:pre_miRNA from 1 species
AGCACUGCCCCCGGUGAGUGAGGGUGUGGGAGCCCCUACCUGGCGCCCGGCCAUCCCCUGACCCUCCGUGCCUGCCCUCAGGAGCU